rnacentral:sRNA from 1 species
UUGACCAGUGCAAGGUCGAGGUCCCGGA